AUUCAUACGUGUUGGGUCCCCACAUGCCGAGCCGGUCUCCUUUCCUCAGUCCGAGCGCCAGCAGGCCUGCUGCAGCCUGGUCCACCUGCCGAGAAGCGCGUUUGGACCGGAGAUCAAGAACGUGCUGCAGAACUACUCACUAUGAUGUGGUCUGCCUUCUCCACAGUCUUCAGUUGAUGGGCCACCACCAACACAGUCCGGCCACAGCUCAGAACCUCCUGAAGGACCUGGGACACCGACACCAUUGUAUGCUGUGCUUCAACAUCCAGUUUGCUGGUCGCCUCAUCCAGUAUAAUGACCUGCGGAUCUCGAACCAGAGCUCUGAUUAUGGAAAUGCACUGCAUCUGUCCUUCUGAAAGCUUCUUACCACACUCCCCUAUAUCUGUA